rnacentral:lncRNA from 1 species
AAAAAUCCCCUGAAUCCAUUGGCUUUCUUCCCUAUACUGACAACAAUUUACGUGUGUAAGGGAGCAGCCAAGGUGAAGUUUUCAACCAGGCCGACUGACUUCGGAGUCCACAGGCUUCAAGACAGUGCUUUACAUCCUCCUUCCAACAUUAUUCACAAGCCGAUCAAGACUGAGAAAGUCACAAGUGUGUGAAACCUGCAUUCUUUCUGACUUCAUUUUCCCUGGUUGAUUGAAAUUCUUAGGAGAGAGAGUCAGACUGACCUAACUUUGGUC